rnacentral:tRNA from 1 species
GCGGGUAUAGCUCAGUGGUAGAGCACAUGCUUAGCAUGCAUGAGGUCCUGGGUUCAAUUCCCAGUACCUCCA